UACGUAGGGGGCAAGCGUUAUCCGGAUUUACUGGGUGUAAAGGGAGCGUAGACGGCGGUGCAAGCCAGAUGUGAAAGCCCGGGGCUCAACCCCGGGACUGCAUUUGGAACUGUGCUGCUAGAGUGUCGGAGAGGCAGACGGAAUUCCUAGUGUAGCGGUGAAAUGCGUAGAUAUUAGGAGGAACACCAGUGGCGAAGGCGGUCUGCUGGACAGCAACUGACGCUGAGGCGCGAAAGCGUGGGGAGCAAACAGG
rnacentral:rRNA from 1 species